rnacentral:rRNA from 1 species
UACGUAGGGGGCAAGCGUUGUUCGGAAUUACUGGGCGUAAAGGGCGCGUAGGCGGCACGGCAAGUCAGGAGUGAAAGCCCGGGGCUCAACCCCGGAAUGUCUUUUGAAACUGCCGAUCUAGAGUGCGGAAGAGGCGACUGGAAUUCCCAGUGUAGCGGUGAAAUGCGUAGAUAUUGGGAAGAACACCUGAGGCGAAGGCGGGUCGCUGGGCCGACACUGACGCUGAGGCGCGAAAGCCAGGGGAGCGAACGGG